rnacentral:tRNA from 1 species
CCGGCUUGUUCUCUGAUUAAGAUUUGUAAUCAUCAGGUGGCGGGUUCGAGUCCUGCAGCCGGCACCA